rnacentral:rRNA from 1 species
UACGUAGGGUACAAGCAUUAAUCGGAAUUAUUGGGCGUAAAGGGCGCGUAGGCGGGAAUAUAAGUCAGGUGUGAAAUACCAAAGCUCAACUUUGGUGCUGCAUUUGAAACUGUAUUUCUUGAGGAUUGACGGAGAAAGCGGAAUUCCACGAGUAGCGGUGAAAUGCGUAGAUACGUGGAGGAACACCGGUGGCGAAAGCGGCUUUCUAGUUUUUACCUGACGCUGAGGCGCGAGAGCAAGGGGAGCAAAC